UACGUGAGGGGCGAACGUUGUUCGGUGUCACUGGGCUUAAAGGGUGCGUAGGUGGUUGCGUAAGUAACGUGUGAAAUCCCUCGGCUUACCCGGGGAAUUGCGCGUUAUACUGCGUGACUUGAGGAUUUCAGGGGAAUGGGGAACUCCAGGUGUAGCGGCGAAAUGCGCAGAUAUCUGGGGGAAGGCCGGCGGCGAAGGCGCCAUUCUGGGAAAUUCCUGACACUGAGGCACGAAAGCGUGGGGAGUAAACAGG
rnacentral:rRNA from 1 species